AUGGGCUCUUAUCGAAGUCGUUUCCUGUUUCUUCCUUGGCAGGUAGCGAUCAAAAGGGAGCCUAAAUAAUCACUUUUACCGACGGUCGCUGUAGGGCUCGAUCCUGUAGCCGCUUCAGCAACAUUAAGGAAAAGGACACGU